GGUCCUGACUAGCUCAACGCUAAGCAUGGCAUUAACGUCGCCAGGGUCAGGGGUUCGAUUCCCGCCGGGACCG